rnacentral:rRNA from 1 species
AGUAGCGUGCAGGAUGACGGCCCUAUGGGUUGUAAACUGCUUUUAUAAGGGAAUAAAGUGAGUCUCGUGAGGCUUUUUGCAUGUACCUUAUGAAUAAGGACCGGCUAAUUCCGUGCCAGCAGCCGCGGUAAUACGGAAGGUCCGGGCGUUAUCCGGAUUUAUUGGGUUUAAAGGGAGCGUAGGCCGGAGAUUAAGCGUGUUGUGAAAUGUAGACGCUCAACGUCUGCACUGCAGCGCGAACUGGUUUCCUCGAGUACGCACAAAGUGGGCGGAAUUCGUGGUGUAGCGGUGAAAUGCUUAGAUAUCACGAAGAACUCCGAUUGCGAAGGCAGCUCACUGGAGCGCAACUGACGCUGAAGCUCGAAAGUGCGGGUAUCGAACAGGAUUAGAUACCCUGGUAGUCCGCACGGUAAACGAUGGAUGCCCGCUGUUGGUCUGAAUAGGUCAGCGGCCAAGCGAAAGCAUUAAGCAUCCCACCUGGGGAGUACGCCGGCAACGGUGCAACUCAAAUGAAUUGAAGGA